rnacentral:rRNA from 1 species
UACGAGGGGGGCGAGCGUUGUUCGGAAUUAUUGGGCGUAAAGGGCGCGUAGGCGGUUUGGUAAGUCUUAUGUGAAAUCUUCGGGCUCAACUCGAAGUCUGCAUGAGAAACUGCCGGGCUUGAGUGUGGGAGAGGUGAGUGGAAUUCCUGGUGUAGCGGUGAAAUGCGUAGAUAUCAGGAGGAACACCUGUGGCGAAAGCGGCUCACUGGACCACAACUGACGCUGAGGCGCGAAAGCUAGGGGAGCAAACAGG